UACGAAGGGGGCUAGCGUUGCUCGGAAUUACUGGGCGUAAAGCGCACGUAGGCGGUCUUUUAAGUCGGGGGUGAAAUCCUGGAGCUCAACUCCAGAACUGCCUUCGAUACUGGAAGACUUGAGUCCGGGAGAGGUGAGUGGAACUGCGAGUGUAGAGGUGAAAUUCGUAGAUAUUCGGAAGAACACCAGUGGCGAAGGCGACACACUGGCCCGUUACUGACGCUGAGGCGCGAAGCGUGGGAGCAA
rnacentral:rRNA from 1 species